UACGGAGGAUCCGAGCGUUAUCCGGAUUUAUUGGGUUUAAAGGGAGCGUAGGCGGGUUGUUAAGUCAGUUGUGAAAGUUUGCGGCUCAACCGUAAAAUUGCAGUUGAUACUGGCAUCCUUGAGUACAGUAGAGGUAGGCGGAAUUCGUGGUGUAGCGGUGAAAUGCUUAGAUAUAACUUAGAACACCGAUAGCGAAGGCAGCUUACCAGACUGAGUCUGACGCUGAUGCACGAGAGCAUGGGUAGCGAACAGG
rnacentral:rRNA from 1 species